GUUGGUGAGGUAACGGCUCACCAAGUCGAUGAUCUUUAGGGGGCCUGAGAGGGUGAUCCCCCACACUGGUACUGAGACACGGACCAGAUUCCUACGGGAGGCAGCAGUGAGGAAUAUUGGACAAUGGGUUAGCGCCUGAUCCAGCCAUCCCGCGUGAAGGACGACGGCCCUAUGGGUUGUAAACUUCUUUUGUACAGGGAUAAACCUAUUUACGUGUAAAUAGCUGAAGGUACUGUACGAAUAAGCACCGGCUAACUCCGUGCCAGCAGCCGCGGUAAUACGGAGGGUGCAAGCGUUAUCCGGAUUUAUUGGGUUUAAAGGGUCCGUAGGCGGAUCUGUAAGUCAGUGGUGAAAUCUCACAGCUUAACUGUGAAACUGCCAUUGAUACUGCAGGUCUUGAGUAAGGUAGAAGUGGCUGGAAUAAGUAGUGUAGCGGUGAAAUGCAUAGAUAUUACUUAGAACACCAAUUGCGAAGGCAGGUCACUAUGUCUUAACUGACGCUGAUGGACGAAAGCGUGGGGAGCGAACAGGAUUAGAUACCCUGGUAGUCCACGCUGUAAACGAUGCUAACUCGUUUUUGGGUUUUCGGAUUCAGAGACUAAGCGAAAGUGAUAAGUUAGCCACCUGGGGAGUACGAACGCAAGUUUGAAACUCAAAGGAAUUGACGGGGGCCCGCACAAGCGGUGGAUUAUGUGGUUUAAUUCGAUGAUACGCGAGGAACCUUACCAAGGCUUAAAUGGGAAUUGAUCGGUUUAGAAAUAGACCUUCCUUCGGGCAAUUUUCAAGGUGCUGCAUGGUUGUCGUCAGCUCGUGCCGUGAGGUGUUAGGUUAAGUCCUGCAACGAGCGCAACCCCUGUUACUAGUUGCUACCAUUAAGUUGAGGACUCUAGUAAGACUGCCUACGCAAGUAGAGAGGAAGGUGGGGAUGACGUCAAAUCAUCACGGCCCUUACGCCUUGGGCCACACACGUAAUACAAUGGCCGGUACAGAGGGCAGCUACACAGCGAUGUGAUGCAAAUCUCGAAAGCCGGUCUCAGUUCGGAUUGGAGUCUGCAACUCGACUCUAUGAAGCUGGAAUCGCUAG
rnacentral:rRNA from 1 species